rnacentral:rRNA from 1 species
UACGAGAGGCCCAAACGUUAUUCGGAAUUACUGGGCUUAAAGAGUUCGUAGGCGGCGCGGAAAGUAGGGUGUGAAAGCCCUCGGCUCAACCGAGGAAUUGCGCUCUAAACUGCCGUGCUUGAGGGACCUAGAGGUGAGCGGAACUGAUGGUGGAGCGGUGAAAUGCGUAGAUAUCUGCAGGAACACCCGUGGCGAAAGCGGCGCGCUGGACCACUACUGACGCUGAGGAACGAAAGCUAGGGGAGCAAACAGG